rnacentral:rRNA from 1 species
GACAGAGGAUGCAAGCGUUAUCCGGAAUGAUUGGGCGUAAAGCGUCUGUAGGUGGCUUUUUAAGUCCGCCGUCAAAUCCCAGGGCUCAACCCUGGACAGGCGGUGGAAACUACCAAGCUGGAGUACGGUAGGGGCAGAGGGAAUUCCCGGUGUAGCGGUGAAAUGCGCAGAUAUCGGGAGGAACACCGGUGGCGAAGGCGGUUCUCUGGGCCUUACCUGCGCUGAGGAGCGAAAGCGUGGGGAGCGAACAGG